rnacentral:rRNA from 1 species
UAAAAAAAGAUAUAUAGUGUUUACUUUGAAUAAUUAGAGUGCUUUAAGCAGAUUGAGAUUUUAAAAUUUUAAAUUCUUUUUUGACGUUUUGAAUAAUUUAGCAUAGAAUAAAAUAAUAAGAUUUGAAAGAUAAGAUUUGGUAAUUAUGUAGCAAAUAAUGAUAAAUAGGAAUAGUUGGGGGUAUUUGUAUUGAAUAGUCAGAGGUGAAAUUCAAGGAUUUGUUCAAGACAAACAUCAGCGAAAGCAUUUACCAAAGAUAUUUCCAUUAAUCAAGAACGAAAGUUAGGGGAUCGAAGAUGAUCAGAUACCGUCGUAGUCCUAACCAUAAACAAUACCAACCAAAGAUAAGAGGUUAGUAAAAAUUAUAAGAAGAUUUUUUUCUUUUUAUAAAAACCAACUCCUUUUGAAUUUUAGAGGGAAACCAUUGAGUAUUUGGGUUCUGG